rnacentral:misc_RNA from 1 species
UCCGGUUUGUCACCGGCAGUCUCCUUAGAGUGCCCACCAUAACGUGCUGGUAACUAAGGACAAGGGUUGCGCUCGUUACGGGACUUAACCCAACAUCUCACGACACGAGCUGACGACAGCCAUGCAGCACCUGUCUCAAUGUUCCCGAAGGCACCAAUCCAUCUCUGGAAAGUUCAUUGGAUGUCAAGGCCUGGUAAGGUGGGGAUGACGUUGGAGGAAUUCCA